rnacentral:snoRNA from 1 species
GGCUAUUUAUUAUUAUUAUUUUUUGAGUAGGAAUCUCACUUUGUCACCCAGGCUAGAG